rnacentral:tRNA from 1 species
GGCGGGCCCGGCUAAGUACUGACCGGGCCGGGCCGUGGAACUAAAAAGCCCCUUCGGACGAAAUCACGAAAUCAAAAAAUAAGAGUAUAUACUAUGACGGGCGUUUUCAAGCCUUAUUUUUUAUAAUGUAACAUAGUAUUAUCCUUUUUCAAUUGAGAGGAGAGAUGGCUGAGUGGACUAAAGCGUCGGAUUGCUAAUCCGUUGUACGAGUUUUUCGUACCGAGGGUUCGAAUCCCUCUCUUUCCGUUUUCAUUGAUGACUUGGCAUUUUCUUUCGAAUUUAUCGCGAGCUCUUUUUUAUUAUAUUAUUUUUAUUAUUAUUAUAUAGUU